UCGAAUGGGGAGAUUCAUCGUCAGCGACGUUGGCUUAGCGGUGACUCGUGAUGUCCGGGACCUCGGUCUCGAGGCACGCGGUCGUUGCUUUGCGUCCGGCGGCGUCGGCGUGCACUUCUCCCCUAGUAGAACGUCGCGACCCGUUGGGUGCCGGUCUUACGGCCUUGGAAUGCCUGUUGCAUCGUUUCGGCGCGUGCGGCAGAUCCUCGGUCACAAAGAAUCGGCUGCUCGGCGGUACUCCCAUGGUAUCGGGCCGCAAAUUCGAACUGCGUCGGGCCCGCUCUGUCCGCCGUUCAGGUUCUCGGGGGUGCGGACCUAGCGCCGUCCCCGGUCCUGAACAGCUUGUCAGGCGGUGUCCUCCGACUGGCCAUUUUAUAUCGAUACCGGUCGGCGACGCUACCGCUUUGGGUCAUCUCAGGACCCGUCUUGAAACACGGACCAAGGAGUCUAACAUGUGCGCGAGUCAUUGGGACCGCAUGCCUAAAGGCGAAAUGAAAGUGAAGGUCGGCCUUCGCGCCGACCGAGGGAGGAUGGGCCGCGUUACGAUGCGGCUCCGCACUCCCGGGGCGUCUCGUUCUCAUUCGAGAAGAGGCGCACCCAGAGCGUACACGUUGGGACCCGAAAGAUGGUGAACUAUGCCUGGUCAGGACGAAGUCAGGGGAAACCCUGAUGGAGGUCCGUAGCGAUUCUGACGUGCAAAUCGAUCGUCGGAA
rnacentral:rRNA from 1 species